rnacentral:rRNA from 1 species
AACGAACGCUGGCGGCAGGCUAAACACAUGCAAGUCGAACGCCCCGCAAGGGGAGUGGCAGACGGGUGAGUAACGCGUGGGAACAUACCCUUUCCUGCGGAAUAGCUCCGGGAAACUGGAAUUAAUACCGCAUACGCCCUACGGGGGAAAGAUUUAUCGGGGAAGGAUUGGCCCGCGUUGGAUUAGCUAGUUGGUGGGGUAAAGGCCUACCAAGGCGACGAUCCAUAGCUGGUCUGAGAGGAUGAUCAGCCACAUUGGGACUGAGACACGGCCCAAACUCCUACGGGAGGCAGCAGUGGGGAAUAUUGGACAAUGGGCGCAAGCCUGAUCCAGCCAUGCCGCGUGAGUGAUGAAGGCCUUAGGGUUGUAAAGCUCUUUCACCGAUGAAGAUAAUGACGGUAGUCGGAGAAGAAGCCCCGGCUAACUUCGUGCCAGCAGCCGCCGUAAGAC